UCUCCUUAAAUGCCUUUCAGUCUUUCUUUGGCUACUUGCAUCAGAAUAUGUGGAAAACUUCUAUACCUGUCUAGAUCAGCUCAUGAGACCUCUUGGAAAGAGAAAGAUGUGCAUAACUACUCUGUCUCCCAGCUCUUCUGGAACCCACUAAGUGAUGAGAACCUCACUUCAUCCUGAGGGAGCUUCUUCCAUUUUUAGAAUGUUCUACAGAGAUUUACAGAACACAAAGAUGGUUUCCUGUUGAAAGGAGAAAAGUAACAAAGAAGUCUAAUUUGUGAAAUUCCAAGAUAGUGAGGACCCAUGGAUUUCAUCACUGCAUAUCCCAAUUUCAAAGAUUAAUCACCACCCCAAAAAAAGAUCCACAACUUACCAGUAGCUUUUAAAAUAUCACUUGAACAUCAGAUGGAGGAUCAUUCUAGAAGCACACCAGAAGCAUUUACAGGUAUCUGACAAAGGAGUUUUGAAGGAAACAGCUUCAAGCUAAAUGGAUUUGGUACAACAGAAACAACUCUUUAUACAAUAUCACUUUCAGACAUGGACAACUACAAAUAAAUCUUACAUCAAUCAUAGCAGCUGUGAAUAUAAAUUUUAACUGUUUUUAAAAUGUUUUUUUUUUUUUUAAAUUUUUAAUCUUAAUAGUAUGGCUUCCAAACUACUUAGACAUCCAGACUGAAAUAUAAAUUGAGUGAUUUUACUUUCUUCUGUGAGUAAUUUUAUAUUACUGAAGAACUAGAAGUUUGAUCAAAUGAGACAAAAGUAAAUGACACGGUGUAGAUUUCUGGUGUGUGGGGGUGUGUGUGCGCGCGCGUGCGCACGCAGAUGUGUGUGUGCGCAUGUGUGGGUAAAACUAUUCUCUUCACAUGUCUUUAUGUAUAUUAUGCCAUACUUUUAAUUUUAAUUUUAUUUUUUUAAAGAUUUUAUUUAUAUGAGAGAGAGGGAGCAAGAGAAAGAAUG